GCUAGCAGCCAUAUCAUCAUAACAUUAGGAGGUGAGCCUGGUCAGUACCUGGAUGGGAGACCUUCUGGGAAAAUCUAAAGUUGCUGCUGGAA
rnacentral:rRNA from 1 species